AUUUUAUCAAGAGAGGUGGAGGGAAUGGCCCUGUGAAGCCUCGGCAACAGGCCUGGAAAGGGUACUGUGCCAAGUCCAGCAGGACAUAUUUCCUGGAAGAUAAGCA
rnacentral:ncRNA from 2 species